ensembl:lncRNA
CUUUAAUACAGCACCCCAUCCAUUAUUUAUGUAUUCGUGGGAGUGUGGUUUUGUAACCGGUUCAGAUAAGUUAAAACAAAAAAGCCACCGCGGGAAAGGGGGGUGAAGGCGGAGGUGACCCAAGUCUGCGACCAAGGUCUCCAGCAACACCUGCAUGUAGACCUUGGCGAAUAUAUUUGUAAAGCAAAGAGGGAAAGGUCUCGGAAGAGGACCCUAAGGCACCCUAGAGUCUUUAUGCUACUGAGAAAAUACUCUUAGGUGGCACGACAGCAAACCCGAGGUGAACUUCACCUGAGUAGAGAGCAGCUCUGCUGGGGUGGCAUGGAUGAGCAGUAAGUUGAAUGUGGGUGUCUGUGCUUGUGCAAGCGGAGGAGGCCCCAGGAUGAAGAAGAUGACCACCCAUCUACUUAUGGGAUCGUUCAUCAUUCUUUGUGAGCUAUUGCGGAAGCGUCAGGAAACAGAAGUCAGUCAGGUGCGAAAAUUGACUUUCCCUGCAUGACCACACAAUGCAGAUAGUUUCACGGUUGAGAACCACUGUCUUGCCGGAAGCAUGAAACAUCUGGGAUGCUGUGGAACUUUUACAUCACCACCAUGGUUUCGUGAAGACUUUCCUCCAUGGAUUCUGGCUCAUGGAAACCAGAGGCCCCUGAGGGGGACAGAAGAGCUCCUAUCAUUGGAAGAGCCGACCUCAGGGCCACUACAGAGAAAAUCCAGCAACACUUCUGGUUCCAGCGGGGGCUCCCUGCCUCCCCCCGCCACCCCACCUUUCCAGGGAAUGAGGGCCAGCCACAGACAAGCUCCGAGGGCAAGUUGCCCUAAUUCAUCUCUGCAAUCCUCAACUGAAGAACUGUGGGUUUUUCCUGCUGAAGUCACCCUGAGGUUCUGCAAGGAACCGUGAGCCCAUGUCUUUGUCCACUUGCAUAACAGUCUUAAGAGUACCCGCAGUGGCAGAGUUUAUAGAAACGCCCUAAAUAUUAGGGGGCUGAACACUGCUGUUGUCCCCGGUGCACCCCAGGGCUCUGCAGCCCCCUCUCGUGACAGCACAAUGCUGCCAGACCUGAAAUCCAGUCAUCCAGCCUCCCCGGCUGCCCCUAGGAUAAUUGGCCAGGGUAGCGGCUGUUUUUUUCCAGCCCUGAGACAGUUUCUUUGUGUAGCCCUGGAUGUUCUAGAACUUCCUCUGUAGACCAGGCUGGCCUCGAACUCAGAAUUCAGAGAUCUGCCUGUCUCUGCCUUCUGAAAUCCUGAUCGUUUGAGGUGGGAAGAUCCACCUCUAAUCUGGGCCACACCUUUUGUUGGUAGACUGCAUGGAAAAGGGGGGCUCUCUUUCCUUCCACCCUCGUUAGCAAGUCCAUUCCUUCACUGGCAUUCGAGCUGAGUUCUUUGGGAUACCAGCCUCAUGGACUGAACAAUUACUGGAUUCUUGGACCUUCUAUAUUUAGGCAGUCAUUGUUGGGCUAGCAGGACCACAACCUGUAAGUCUCUUCCUGUCUGUCCGUCUGUCUGUCUGUCUGUCCGUCUGUCUGUCUGUCCGUCCGUCCGUCUAUCUAUCUAUCUAUCUAUCUAUCUAUCUAUCUAUCCAUCCAUCCAUCUUUCUAUUCAUCCAUCCAUACAUCCAUACAUUCAUCCAUCCACCCAUCCAUCCAGACUUGGGCC